rnacentral:rRNA from 1 species
AUUGAACGCUGGCGGCAGGCCUAACACAUGCAAGUCGAGCGGAUGAAGGGAGCUUGCUCCUGGAUUCAGCGGCGGACGGGUGAGUAAUGCCUAGGAAUCUGCCUGGUAGUGGGGGAUAACGUCCGGAAACGGGCGCUAAUACCGCAUACGUCCUGAUGUUGAACGUGGUGGAUCUUCGGACCUCACGCUAUUAGAUGAGCCUAGGUCGGAUUAGCUAGUUGGUGGGGUAAAGGCCUACCAAGGCGACGAUCCGUAACUGCUCUGAGAGGAUGAUCAGUCACACUGGAACUGAGACACGGUCCAGACUCCUACGGGAGGCAGCAGUGGGGAAUAUUGGAUAAUGGGCGAAAGCCUGAUGCAGCCAUGCCGCGUGUGUGAAGAAGGUCUUCGGAUUGUAAAGCACUUUAAGUUGGGAGGAAGAGCAGUGAGUGAAUACCUGGCUGUUUUGACGUUACCAAAAGAGUAAGCACCGGCUAACUACGUG